GAACAAGAAGCGAAAAAUUUGCUAUCGGUUUCGACCCGGUCCUUGGUCUCUGACCCUUGUUCU
rnacentral:tRNA from 1 species